AGGCUAAAUGUACUGAGAUCACGUGAGGUGCAAUACAUGACUGUAGAUUGGCCACAGGGAUAAGUAUGCAAGUGGAUCAGGUGGCAGCUGGUGGGAAGUUCGCGACAUACAAAAUUAAAUGGUCCUCUGGAUUGAAUGGUUGGUACGUCCCAGGGUACAACGACAUAGACGAGAAAGUUAACCUUAGAAGAAGAAACUGUUCGUUGUCCUUCAAAG
rnacentral:lncRNA from 1 species